rnacentral:rRNA from 1 species
GAUGAACGCUGGCGGCGUGCCUAAUACAUGCCAGUCGAGCGAACGGACGAGAAGCUUGCUUCUCUGAUGUUAGCGGCGGACGGGUGAGUAACACGUGGAUAACCUACCUAUAAGACUGGGAUAACUUCGGGAAACCGGAGCUAAUACCGGAUAAUAUUUUGAACCGCAUGGUUCAAAAGUGAAAGACGGUCUUGCUGUCACUUAUAGAUGGAUCCGCGCUGCAUUAGCUAGUUGGUAAGGUAACGGCUUACCAAGGCAACGAUGCAUAGCCGACCUGAGAGGGUGAUCGGCCACACUGGAACUGAGACACGGUCCAGACUCCUACGGGAGGCAGCAGUAGGGAAUCUUCCGCAAUGGGCGCAAGCCUGACGGAGCAACGCCGCGUGAGUGAUGAAGGUCUUCGGAUCGUAAAACUCUGUUAUUAGGGAAGAACAUAUGUGUAAGUAACUGUGCAUAUCUUGACGGUACCUAAUCAGAAAGCCACGGCUAACUACGUG